rfam:Patagioenas fasciata monilis isolate BTP2013 Sc31e1R_407, whole genome shotgun sequence.
CUGGGCUACGGGGACAUGUACCCCAUGACGUGGUCGGGGAUGCUGGUGGGCGCGCUGUGCGCGCUGGCGGGCGUGCUCACCAUCGCCAUGCCCGUGCCCGUCAUCGUCAACAAC